GACGAACGCUGGCGGCGUGCUUAACACAUGCAAGUCGAACGGAAAGGCCCUGCUUUUGUGGGGUGCUCGAGUGGCGAACGGGUGAGUAACACGUGAGUAACCUGCCCUUGACUUUGGGAUAACUUCAGGAAACUGGGGCUAAUACCGGAUAGGAGCUCCUGCUGCAUGGUGGGGGUUGGAAAGUUUCGGCGGUUGGGGAUGGACUCGCGGCUUAUCAGCUUGUUGGUGGGGUAGUGGCUUACCAAGGCUUUGACGGGUAGCCGGCCUGAGAGGGUGACCGGCCACAGUGGGACUGGGGUACGGCCCAGACUCCUACGGGAGGCAGCAGUGGAGGAUAUUGCACAAUGGGCGGAAGGCUGAUGCAGCAACGCCGCGUGCGGGAUGACGGCCUUCGGGUUGUAAACCGCGUUCGCCUGUGACGAAGCGUGAGUGACGGUAAUGGGUAAAGAAGCACCGGCUAACUACGU
rnacentral:rRNA from 1 species